rnacentral:rRNA from 1 species
UACGGGGGGGGCAAGCGUUGUUCGGAAUUACUGGGCGUAAAGGGCUCGUAGGUGGCCAAUUAAGUCAGACGUGAAAUCCCCAAGCUUAACUUGGGAACUGCGUCUGAUACUGAGUGGCUUGAAUUCGGGAGAGGGAUGCAGAAUUCCAGGUGUAGCGGUGAAAUGCGUAGAUAUCUGGAGGAACACCGGUGGCGAAGGCGGCAUCCUGGACCAAUAUUGACGCUGAGGAGCGAAAGCCAGGGGAGCAAACGGG